rnacentral:rRNA from 1 species
GAGUUUGAUCAUGGCUCAGGAUGAACGCUAGCGGCAGGCUUAACACAUGCAAGUCGAGGGGUAUAGUUCUUCGGAAUUAGAGACCGGCGCACGGGUGCGUAACGCGUAUGCAAUCUACCUUUCACAGAGGGAUAGCCCAGAGAAAUUUGGAUUAAUACCUCAUAGUAUAACGACUCUGCAUGGAGGUGUUAUUAAAGUAACAACGGUGAAAGAUGAGCAUGCGUCCCAUUAGCUAGUUGGUAAGGUAACGGCUUACCAAGGCUACGAUGGGUAGGGGUCCUGAGAGGGAGAUCCCCCACACUGGUACUGAGACACGGACCAGACUCCUACGGGAGGCAGCAGUGAGGAAUAUUGGACAAUGGGCGCAAGCCUGAUCCAGCCAUGCCGCGUGCAGGAUGACGGUCCUAUGGAUUGUAAACUGCUUUUGCGCAGGAAGAAACAACGCUACGUGUAGCGUCUUGACGGUACUGUGAGAAUAAGGAUCGGCUAACUCCGUGCCAGCAGCCGCGGUAAUACGGAGGAUCCAAGCGUUAUCCGGAAUCAUUGGGUUUAAAGGGUCCGUAAGCGGUUUAGUAAGUCAGUGGUGAAAGCCCAUCGCUCAACGGUGGAACGGCCAUUGAUACUGCUAGACUUGAAUUAUUA